rnacentral:ncRNA from 2 species
UAAUUUUCUGUGCGAGAGUGUCUAUAUGGCCGCCGAAGAGGCAAGAAUAAGGGCUGUCCGCUUUUAUUUGAAACUUUCAGGCAAAAGGAUCACGGAGAAUCU